GUGAGUUUUGAGACAAGGAGGUUCCGCUGUAAUUCAAAGUAUCUGUCCAGACAUUCAUCUUUAGCCUUUCUUUUUCUUCCUUUUCCUCGCUGCAGUGGUGGGCAGCAGAGGACACGGAUAACAGCGUGAGUCUCUGAUGAGAGGUGACACGGUCAGCUGGGGCCGCAGGGGCGCAGAGCAGUGCCGCGCUGGCCCGCCGGGUGGCAAACUGCUGUCAUGAGUGACUCAGCAGAGUCGGACAAGUGUCCCCUGGAACCCUGUGAGCUGGGAACCUGCUUGGACAUGCCCUCCUGCUCCUACCACCAGGGUCUUCUUUUGCUGUGACAUUGUAAUGGGAGGUGGAGACACCUCGAGGAGGAGGUUGAAACACACAACAGCAAUCACAGUCAAUAGCCUCUACGAAUUGGGAAAAUUCU
rnacentral:lncRNA from 14 species